UCAUCUCUGGAUUUACUCUAAUUUUUUUAAUCUUUGCAUGAAUCAUUUAAUUUUUCCAAUGUGAAUCAUUGUAUUCUUUCUGAAUGCUCUGGUGUUGCUUCAUUCAGCCUUCCAAAAGCUCGCAAAUAAAGCAGACAAAAUAGAAUUAUCUUUAUGCUGGGAGAGGCUACAGCUCCACCUUCAUUAACAUGUUUUCCAGCAAUAUAUUCAAUCGACACAUAUUUAAUAAACACCUACUAUAUUCUAAGCAUUGAUUCUGCCGUAGGCUCGGUCAGAUUUAAAGUGCAUGUUCCUAGGUAAUUAUAUCUUGAAGUCCACCCUCUGUGUCUCUACUCUGUAUAGGAUACUCUGUAUCCUAACAUGGUUUGACAGAAGGAAGGGUCUAUUUCUCUUUUCUCACAGCUGGGUUAAUGCUGUACAAGUAUGCACGCUUGCAUUCACACACACACACACACACACACACACACACAGACACACACACAAACCCCUGAUAGUGGCAGAGGGUCUUCAGCAUCGAAUGGCAUUUACCAUCUUUUUGUCCUCACUUGCAACUUACAUGCAGCAACGGCCACCCCACGAUUUAGAACCUAGAAUAUAACCCAAGAGACAGUUUAUGAGUUCAAGUUGUUUAUUUGGGAGAUGAAUUUGUACUAAAAUCUCUAUUAAAAAUGCCAAAUUAGGAUUGAUUCACAACACAUUACGAAGUGUUUCCUUUCCCCAUUUUUUCAUGUCCCUGUUUAUGAUUGUUAUAUAGACCAGCCCCUAAAAUUUCCCUCAAUUCCCAGUUGAUUUAUUCUAUUUUCUUUCUCUUUUCACUGUGAACAAAAGAGCUCAAGCCCCACAGCCAAGCUCAGAAGGCCUUAGGUGCACCCCUCACAGUUAAUUCACCAAAACAUGAAGAAGCUAGGACAUAUACCCACCAAUUCCCAUCACUCAUUGGUUGAGGCUUUCUGCUGAGGCACUAGCUCCUUAACACUUCCAACUUGUGCAAUCUAUUAGCCAAGGAUUCUCCUGUGGCCAGAAAGCAUCCUCAGGCAGAAAUUAAAAAACUUUUUAUGUGAAUAGAGAUUUUUCCCAAACGAUCUCUGAAGAAGGCUAAGGGCUACAUCCUAACACUCAACAUGUCAAGAAAGGUUACAUUCCAUCUGUAAGUAACAUACACAGAAGAGUCAGGUAAACUGAUUUCCAUAAAACUACCUAUGCACUAGGAAUUACAGAUCUUUAACUGUCAAACCUCAAGGCACCCCCUUGCCUAACUCUGAGACUUAUGUGAGAACAUAAUUAAAGCUUGACUCAUCCUCAAAUGGAAGGACCCAGGAACAAAGCCUAUGCCAGCCCUAGAAUUGGGCUUAGAAACAUUUGGGCCAGGAAUUCUAGGGUGCUGGAUGUAGUCUAAAAAGUGUAUGUUGCUUUCAGUUCGGCAUAUGCUGUAGGCCCAACAGAUUUCUCCUUGUGUAGGAGACACAACCAGGAAAAGGCCAGAGUUAAGACCUCUAAAGCAUGAGACCCAAGGCAAGCACUUCUCUUGCCUAGAUCCAGGACAGUACUGUUUCCAAACAUACGCUGCUGGAUAAUUUCAAAAAUAUUAAAUAAUGUAGUAUUGUCCCUAUUUUAUAUGGUUUGGAUGUUUGUUCUAUCCAAAUCUCAUGUUGAAAUGUGAUUCUCAAUGUUGGAGGUGAGGCCUGGUGGGAGGUGAUUGAAUCACUGGGGUAGAUUCCUCAUAAAUGGUUUAGCGCCAUCCCCUUUGUGAUAAGUGAGUUCUUGCUCAGUUAGUUCACAUCUGACCUGGUUGUCGAAAUGUCCGAGACCUCCUUUCUCUCUCUGUCUCUUGCUCCCAUUCUGAUCAUGUGACAUGCUGGCUUUCCCUUUGCCUUCCACCAUGAGUAAGAGCUCCCUGUGGCCGUCAACGGAAGCUGAGCAGAUGCCAGCACUAUUCUUCCUGUACAGCCUGUCAAACUGUGAGCUAAUUAAACCUCAGUUUUUAAAAAUCAAUUGCCCAGCCUCAGGUAUUUCUUUACAGCAGCUCAAGAAUAGACUAAUAUACCAUCUGAUCUUUCAUUUACUCAAAAGUCAAGCCUUUCUGUGUUCCAUGCCUCAGAGAAUAAAAGCAGUAAGGUGGAAAGCUGAAAGUUUGUGAAUCUCUUCCUGUCUUUUCUCAUUCAAAAGUCUAAACACUCAGAGGAAUGGAAAGGAUUCCAGUUAUGGACAAAGUGUUGAGAGAAAUCAUGAAGCAAAACAACCUCUGCCUGAUCUGGGAAAAAUAAACAGACAUGGAGGAUGUAUCAAAAAUAUAAGUGUGAGAGGUUCCUGAGAAAGGAAUUUAGCCUCUUCAUGCAAAACACCGAAGAAAGAAUGAGACCCCAGAGGGACCACAGUCAACCUUAGCAAGUUGUACUCAGGCAGCUUGAAUAAAUUCCUAUAUUCUAAUGUGGCAUGGAAACAACAAAAACAUUCCAGGAUUCCCAAGGCUGAAACAGACAAAGCAGUGAGAACUAUUGAAUUUAAAUGGACUAGGAGGACAGCACCAAGGUAGGGUGGUGGAUGUCUCAGUAGAGGCUGCAAAGAAAGAUGACAUUGACGUUCUCCUUCUGGCAUAUCUUGGCACUAUGUCUUUGCUACCCUGCUGGAGGAGAAGGUAGAGUUGACCUCAUUUUUCCAGCUGAAGGACCUAAUAUAUGAUAGAGCCCAACCAGGAUCAGUUCAGCCCGCCAGCCAAGCAGCAGAUGACAGCCCCGCUGGGCAAGCCCCCAGCUAAGGAAGCAGAGCUGGACCAAAGCAGCAGAACUUUCAAGCCAAUCUGCAAACUUGCAGAAGGAUCAGCAUCUAUCCAGCAGCAACUCUCCUCACAGCAGAUCACCAGAAUGCCAGAGCCAAGCCUAACUGCACAAGUUCCACUAUGGCCUCUGCCUCACAUCUGCUAAUAUAUCAUUGACCAAAUAUGGAUUUUUUUUUUAAAGAAGUUAAAAAUAUACAUUUUUCCAUUUAAACUUAUAACUUUCUAGACACUUUUUAAGGUAGUGUUUACGGGUUGGAGGAUUUCAGUGGACUCUCCAAGCUACUAGGGCAAAAUCAAUUAAUGUAAGUACCCCAAGGCCAUGCUUAGGUGUCUGCUAAUCCUGGCUCUCCAGCAGGGGACAGCUGUCAUUUUUGUUAGAGGGUAGAACACUUUGUAUCCAAAGCCACUCUUUUGACUCAGAGUUCUAGAUUUAAGAUAAUUAACGCUCCCCCACUCCCCGCCUUUUUAAAAAUUUUGUGUAAAGUUUUAAACUAUCGUGUUCUGUUAUAUAAAUGUCCACCCGGGUGCAGGAAAAAAAACAUAGCAAUCAUUAACUCUAUUAGUCAGCCAUUGUUGUAAAAAUGUUAUGUAACAAAUAUCCAAAUAACUUACAACAAUUCUUAAUAUCACAUUUUAUUUUGGGGGGCUGGCUAAUCUAGGCUGGGCUCAGCUGAAUGGUUGUGCUUUAGGCUGUGACACAGCUAAACUAUGGCUUACAUUCAGGUCCUCUCCCUCUGUGUUUUUUUUGCUGAGAUUCGGGUAGAAGGAGCAGCAUCUAUCCAGCAGCAGCUCUCCUCACAGCAGGAUACAAGAGCCAAGCCUAACUGCACAAGUUCCACUGAGGCCUCUGUUUGCCUAGCAUCUGCUAACAUAUCAUUGAGCAAAGCAAGUCACAAGGCCAAGCACACGCUCAAAGGACAAGAAGGACACUCCACCAGCAAUAGAAAGGGGAAAGAAGUGAAUGAUUACUGAAAUUAACCCCAACUCUCAUAUCCUAGAGGUCUUUUUGAAAAGCUGAGUUCCUUUCUAAAUCAGCCCCAAACAACCUCUCUCUGAGGCCCCACUGGCUACCCCUGGAGCUGCUGAACUCUGUGGAUUCUUGGACAUCACCCCAAGUGGAUUUUGGCCUGCCAUGAGUGAAACACGGGGUGAGUGGUAGCCAAUGCAGAAGAUUUGGAACUCUCAGGACAAGUGCUCUAAAUUAGGAACAAAGCAUUCCACGGACUACGUCAAAACUUUAAAAAUAAGCCUUGCUCCAUACACAGCUAAUGACCUUGCUGAACACAUUUUAAAAAUGCCUCAUUUAAGAUGUUUAAGUAAUUACUGAGGAGCAGUGACCUUAAGGUUUUUCCAUCCCAUCUGUGCCCUGCCUCUCAGGCCUCUCUUUCCCUUCAUUGCCAUGGGUCCUGGUUCCCAUGCAGGCUGUUCUAAUGUAAGACAGCAAUCUAAUGUAAGAAAUCUACAAGUCAAUGGUGACUUUGGGUGGUUUCUUCACUAAGAAUAUUGCUUUAUUUACUCUGCUCUUUCGAUGCCUUCUAAGGACAAAGAAGCCAACUACUGUCACAGAGAGUAUUUCUUUAAGGCUGAGCCACAGGGGACCAGGGGAUAGAGAAUACCUAAAAUACUCUCUGACCACAAACCCCUUUAAAAUAUCCUUUUCUAAAAGAACAAUGGAACAAGGUGAACAUCCUGCAGAUUCAAGCCUGGGUAAAUCAAAAAGCCCCACAUGUUACCUGAUGUUAUGUAGGAGGUGAAAACCAGGGUGCAUGAAAACCUAGGAAGUAGAUAUUAAUCAGAAGUGGACUGAGAUAGGGGAUGGACUGAUCCAGGAUUCUAGACUUCUUAUUUGCUGUGUAACUCAAGAUAAUUGGACUACCUCAUGGUCAAUCUUGGUACAUGGUUACAUUCCAAGGAAACACAUGUCUCAUCAAACAAACUCACCAAGAAAUAUGAAAAUCUUCCAUGAAGACUCAGAGAUGUCAACGAUGGAGGCAAAUUUUAUUGCAUAACACAACACACUCUGUUAAAAUGCACACUUGGAAUGAAGAGACACCCCAAACAGGCUUUGCCUGAGCAACAUGGUUGUUUAUACACCUGGGUGCAGGUAGGCUGAGGCCAAAAAAGGUGUCAGCGAAGGGCAGUGGGACAGGAGUUGGUUUUAUAGGUUGGGGCAAAUCUUUUGGGGGGGCAGGGGUGUUAGGAGUAAGAUCAGUUACAGUGGUGGAGGUAGGGGCAAGGAGUAUACAUUACCAUAAGUUCAGUUACAAUGGCAGGUGGGGAAAGGUGUAAAAGUAGUUAAGAUGGUAGGGUGGGGCGGAGGGAUAUGGUGGCGGAGGGAUACUCACACAGCAAGAACAGUUAAGAUGGCCGGGUGGGGUGAGAAGCUCGAUGUCCAUGGAAGCUCCGCUGGGCAAUCAGGGAUAAUGGCAAAUGCAGGCGGGGGAGGUAGGGGAAGCCGGGUGGGGGGCAGUGGUGUGAUCAGAGUGGCACGCGGGACUUUAGACUUUCUGGGUCUGCCUGACAGUGAUUUGCCUGCCUUGGUAUUCCAGAGUGCUGGGAUUAUAGGCGUGAGUAACCACGCCGGCCUGAGAUAGGAUUUUUUUAAUUCCUGUUUUUACGGUUGAAGAAUAAAUGUUCAUAAAAACAAAGUAACUUGUCCAAAUGCAAACAGCAGUUAAGUGAUGGGAUUGGGGUUUGAAUCAAAGGCUUUAGGCCUCAAUUCUGUUUUUUUAACUGGAACAUGGCUGUGAAUACAAUGUCCAACCAGAGGAGCUCUGGACCCAAUGUGAGAGCAAGUGCUUGUCUGAGGUAUGGAAAUUGACCCAAGCAAGUGUAACCAAGGCGUACAUUCUACUAAUACAUAUUGACCGACUCUCUACUCUUGUGUAUUUGUUUAGAUCCCAGGUUGCUCUUUUUUUCCUUUUCUUUCUUUUUUUUUUUUUUAAGAGACAGGGAGUCUUGCUCUGUUGCCCAGGCUGAAGUGCAGUGGUGCAAUCAUUGCUCACUGUGGCCUCUACUUCCUGGUCUCAAGUGAGCAUCCUACCUUAGCCUCUUGAGUACCUAGGAGUCAUGCACCAACAUACCCAGCUAAGUAUUUUAUUUCUGGUAGAGAAAAGGUCUUGCUGUGCUGUUCAGGCUGGUCUCAAACUCCUGGCCUCAAGCAAUCCUUCUGCGUUGGCCUCCCUAUGUGUUGGGUCUACAGGUGUUAGCUGUUGCAUUUGGCCCCAGGUCUUUUUUAAAAAAUGAUUUUUGGAGAAACAAAUGGGAAAAAUGGAAAGAAAUAAAUUUGAGUAAAUAGUUGCUGUCAGAUGUAGGACUUCAAGAAGAUAGGGAAAAGGAGUGCAUCAGGCCUCCAUGUGCAAGCCCAGACCCAAAAAGUAUGAAGUCCUGCCUGCCUCAGCUGAUCACCUCCCCCCUUGCCCCCACCACCAUUCGCCAUUAUCCCUGAUUGUCCAGCGGAACUUCCCCAGGACAUUGAGCCCAUCGAGGACACCCUUUUCAGCCUCAGCCCACCUGCACCCAGGUAAAUAAAGAGCCAUGUUGCUCACACAAAGCCUGUUUGGGGAGUCUCUUCAUUCAAAACAUGUGUUUUAACAAUCACCAGGUCAGGAGUUCAAGACCAGCCUGGUCACUAUGGUGAAAACCCGUUUCUACUAAAAAUACAAAAUAAUUAGCCAGGCAUGGUGGCACAUGCCUGUAAUCCCAGGUACUCAGGAGGCUGAGGCAGGAGAAUUGCUUGAACCUGAGAGGCAGAGGUUGCAGUGAGCCGAGAUCGUGCCACUGCACUCCAGCCUGGACGACAGAGCGAGACUCCAUUCCAAAAAAAAAUCUACCCAAGUUACUCAAGGUAUCAUUAUCAGGAUUAAGUGAUAUCAUGGAAAUGAAAGCUGGACACAAGUGGGCACUAGGCAAGCCUGUGUGAAUUCUGAACAACAGUGAGGUUUAGAAAGUGCUUUGAUCACCUAGAUAGGCCAGUUUUUCAAAUCUCUCUUUUAUUUCUAUUCAUCCCCUAAAAUUAUAUUAAGGCUUUCUGACUGCUGUGGACUGAAUGCUCUACAGCCUGCCACAAAUUCACACAUUGAAACCUAAAUCCCCAAUGUGAUGGUAUUUGGAGGUUAGGACUUCUUUGGGAGGCAAUUAGGUCAUAAGAGUGGAGCCCUCAUAAUAGGAUUUGUGGCUUUAUAAGAAGAGACACGAUAGAGAUGAUUUCUCUCAGCCAAUGUGAGAAUACAGCAGGAAGGUGCCAUUUGCAAACCAGGAAGAGUCCCCUCGCAGACACCAAAUCUGCUGGCACCUGGAUCCUGGAAUCCAUCCCAGCCUCCAGAGCUAUUAGAAAUGAACAUUAGCCAUUUAAGCCACGCAGUCUAUGGUGUUUUAUCAUAAAAGCGUGAGCUAAGACUGACUCACAUAGUGCCAGUCCACUGAAGUGUAUUUGAAUAUCUAUAGUAGGACAUCCAGUGUUGGUUUCUUUUCCAUGUAUGAUGAAGGCAAGUUAGUUAAAAAGAUGAUGGAGGAUGCGUUGGGUUACCCUAGAUGAUCUUCUUUCAGGAAAGAACGACAAAUCCCCAGGAACCAGGUACCUGUUCUCUGAGAUGCUUCCUCCACCCCAGUCCCAUUCAUACAUUUGCCCCAUUGGUGGCUUUUAUAAACUUUACUGAGCUUUACUUUGUCUCUUCCUGCUUUUAUUGACUACUUAAACAGCGCCUAAAACAUCUGGUCCCCUGAGAGCUUUUACCAAGCUCUCUGGAGUACAGAUUAGAUUGUCAUUUGUCUAAUUUGUUGUCAAAUUCAAAAGAAGGUCUUCUAAACUGAGGGGAUUCAGGAAGUCACAUGGGUUUAUCUGUGAGCACCAACUGAGAGAGUAAAGGAGGUUGAGAUUAAGCCCUGAGUCAUGACGCUGGAUUGAAGCUCCUUGGAAGGGAUGUCUUCUUCUUAACUCAACUGCCUGGGGAAAUGCUUUUUUUUUUUUUUCCGGCGGUUCUCACAAAAGUCCUAUAGGUCCAGCUGCAGUCCUGAGGACUUUAGUUCACUUUUUGGUCGUUCAUCUGAGAAAAUCGAGAUUAAAUUUAUUAGAACUCCUUAGAGGAAAGAUAUUAUUAUACGGAUAAGAUCUAUAAUUGCUUUCAAGACUUUCCAUGGAAAUUAUUAUCUAUCCAAGAGAGAAAAAUCUCAGCUAAUGUCCACAGUCCAAGUUAAUAUAUUGAGUAAAGGGCCUCAGAAAAGGAAAAAGAAAUAUAUGCUAUUUAAAAACUACAAAAGUUAGUUUUCACAGGAGAUUCAAUCUGGUAGGUUGUCAAGAAUUGGUGGUUUUAUUUCAUUCACUUAAGUUAUUUAACAAAAUGGGACUUUUGACUUCUUCAUACUAUUAGACAUUUUCCUCUAUUAAGACAACAGCCAUCUGCUGGGGCAAUAAUUUUUGGUGGGGUAUGGUGGUGCACGCCUGUAAUCUUAGCACUUUAGGAGGGUAAGGCAGGCAGGAGUUUGACACCAGCCUGGCCAACGUGACAAAACCCUAUCCCUACUAAAAAUACAAAAAUUAGCUGGGUAUGGUGGUGUGUGCCUGUAAUCCUAGCUAUUUGAAAGACUGAGGCACAAGAAUUAUUUGAACUUGGGAGUGGGAGGUUGCAAGGAGCCGAAAUUGAGCCACUGCACUCCAGCCUGGGCAACAGAAUGAGACUCUAUCUAAAAAAUAAUAAAAUAAUAAUUAUUUCUCAUUCUACACCUGCAUUAUUGACCAUUUCAAUAUAUGUUUGUAAACUGAAUGUCUUCUCAGGCUUGAUAAUGAGUCAGACUCUUCUUCAAUAUAGAAAGAAAACUUCAGUAAAGAGAUCUGUUAUCAAAGUUGUCAUGCUCCUUAGAAAUGUAUGUUUGCUUCUUACACUAGGUUCUGAAUCCCCAUAUCCCACCACAGAGUGUGGACCUUACCCUGAUUCUUUUCCAGUGCCUGAUAUAUGAUGGUCACUCUAAAUGCUUCCUGUUUUAAUGAAUGAACAAACUAAAGUUGUGUCGUUACAUUGUCUUUCUUUUCAAAUCUUGAUGUAAAAUUCGAUCUGUGUUUGUCUGGCAGGAAAGUCUUCUUUAAUGUUGGAAUUCUUACAUAAGUUAUAGUAUAUUCCAUAUACUGUAUAAUAGUAUAUGUUACAUAUGAUUAUAACAACAUAUUAUUAUCAUAACAUAGUAAGCAGCAUUUCUUGCUGGGUGAAAAAUGUUUUAUAUAUACACACGUAUUUGAAUGUGUUUUGUUUGUUAUAGACUCUUAAUAUAUAAUACACUGUAUAACACACAUAUAUAUACAUAUAUAUAUAUGUAUAUAUAUAUGAAGAUUUUCUGUUACUCUAUCAUGGUCCCUAAAAAAUAAAUAGCUUUGUCUAGCCAUUGUUAGGAACUGGGAAGUAGACAGAAUUUCUCAUUGCUUUCAAUUGAUGAGACAGAUGUCCCAAAUAUUGUCUUUCCUGUCCGGGUAGAUGUAACACGUAAAUGUAUGCAUUUUAACACAAUAAAGAUGCUUCUCUAGACCCUUUUUCCUCAAAGUGUGGUCCAUGGACAUCAGCUGGGGGCUUGAUAGAAGGGUAGAAUUUUGCCCCUAUCCUAGACCUACUGAAUCAGAAUCCACAUUUUAAUAACAUUCUGGGCUAGAAGAACAUAGUUGCACCAAAGUCUGGAGGCCUCCGUGACUGCUCAACUAUACCUUGGGAGGUAGUCAAUGCUGAAGACCAGGAAGUCCCUACCACCUCUCCCAUGUCCUGCAUCUUUCUCCUUGAAUUUGUAAUAGAUGGGAGGCCAGCCAUUCCUAAACCCAUCCCCUUCUCUCAGCACUGUUGACUGGGGCAAAGUAUGUGCUUUAAAUGGAAUGGAUAAUAAAAUAUUGACCCUUCAUGAAUUUGUGAAAUGAUUUCAUCCUAUGUUUGUUUUCUGGGCCUGUGAGACUGGGCUCUCUUUCUUAGAAUAAAGUCACUAUUUAUCUUGCUCUAUGCUCAACCUUGCACAGACUGCUUAUGAACAUUUAGUUUUUAGUGUUUUCUAAAGAUGCUGAUGAUAAUGAUGAUGACAGUGAUAGUAAUGAUAUGCUAAGAGUGCUUCAAAUACCUCCUCCUAAUCAUUCUCAACAAUCUGCUUAGAAUUCUAAGUAACCAGUGAUUUUCAAACCAAGACCUGCAGAGGCCUAGGCACUGGAUCACUGCCAGAAGAGAGGAAGACAGGAGGCAGGAUGGCUGAGUGUCAUGGCUGACCCACAGGGAUUGAGGUUAAGAUCCAGAGGAUGGGGAGCACAAAUCUGAACAUUUUUACUUUCAUCUGCUGUUACAUAUUAAAACCUGGAA